AUCCAGCUGACGAGUCCCAAAUAUGAUGAAACGUGCAUCCUGGAU
rfam:Schistosoma curassoni strain Dakar, Senegal genome assembly, scaffold: SCTD_contig0003035